AUAUUUUGAAUUAAGUAUAUUCAUAAUAUGUUAUCAGACGAAUGUUGUUAAAGAUAUAGGUUGAUAUUUGUGAAGGGAAAGAGUUGCCUCUCUCCCAACAAACAUUGCACACAAGGUGGAUAUGGAUUUUUAAAAAGUGCAGUAAAACACUUAUUAUGAAUGAUCCUUCCGCAGGUUCACCUACGGAAA
rnacentral:misc_RNA from 1 species